rnacentral:lncRNA from 1 species
UAAUUAUUUUUUACGAUAAAUGUAUUAUGCAAUUUUGACUCUUCCGAAAACCUAAUAAAUUCAGGUGGAGUAUGAAUUUUAUCUGUACUCGAUCCGAACAUGAAUGAAUUUUUUAUUAUAUAAUAUGUGAAUAUUCGAUGUUAUAUUAGAAUUUGUAUUUUGAAAAUUUAGAUUUUAGUACAAUAUAUUUUCAUAGAUUUAGGUUAUUAUACUAUUAAUAUCACUAAGUUAUUGGUGCUAUUAGGUUUUAGUCCUUGGACGAAGAAAUGCGUGGUUAGAAUGAUUGUUGUUCUCUAGAGUUAAGUGGGUGGUUGGUUGGUUGAAUAGUAUGUAUGAUCUAACGGAUGAAAAUGGUCAAAAAGGUAGAUCUAACGGCAGAAAACUUGAUAGCACCAAAUAGUUAGUGCUAUCGAUAGCAUAGUAGCCGGACUCUAUAUUUAUGUAUGUUAAAAAAGAAAUAAUACUAUUCGUAUU